rnacentral:lncRNA from 1 species
GUUUUUCUGAAGUAGUAUCAGUUUGUAAGCUGAAUGUUCUUUUCAAUCAUCUACUGAAGAUGUUGAACAAAUGUAUUUAAAGUUGUUAAUGAAGUUAUGUUAAAGCCACUUUCCUUGUUAAAUAUCUUCUCUAUUUCAUGCUAAAAGUCUAGCAAAAUAUAAAUACCUUUUCUUUACUGAAAUACCUCUCUGUAGAGGACAGACUGAAUGAAUUAAUCAAUCAAAAAAAUAUUUUGCUGCCAAGUCUGGAAGAAAAUUCACAAGAUUUGCAACAAGCACAGACUCUUGUGCUAGACCAAGAAGACAAAUGCAGAUAUUAUGAGAAAAAAAUGCAGGACCUAGCAGAAAAAAGAAGGCUUUUGCUUACCAGCCUGGAAUCGAAUUGGAAAGAUCUGCAACAGACUCAGGCUCUGGCAGCUAGCCAACUUCAUGGCAUGAAUGGAAACAAAGUAAAUGAACUCAUCAAGGAAAGAGAGUCUUUGGUUGCUGAAAUAGAAGAAAAUCUAAAGAGCCUUCAAGAAGUUGAGAAUGUGGUAACAAGCCAUUUAGUCACAGACAGAUUCAUUGAAGGGAGAGUUCAGAAGGCACCAGAAAUUGAACUUCCUCAGAAGAGAAAGCUGAUGAAAAAAGCUUCAGACACUUCUGAGAGUAAAAGAGACUUUGGUGCCUCAAUGCCUUACCGGUGUGAAUGGGGAUCACUGUUUAUUUCUGGGAAGAGUUACCCUUUGCUGAGCACAAAGAAUCAAGAAGCAAAAAAGAGGUGAAACAUCUCUGAUAAGAUUCUCUCACAGUCCUCUUAUUAGAAUAGCUGUGAUAAACUUACAGCAUUAAUAAAAAUACCACUCUGUCACUCUCCUAUAGUCUA